GGGGGGCCUCAAAGCAAUUGCAGAUAUCUUGGAAGACCAGUGGUUCCAGUGAAAUCCAGGGAACGGUUAUGCUAUCAAUAGUUAGCAAGACAUUAGACUUAAACUUCAGUGAGAGAAAGACCCAGAGGAGGCCAGUCACAGGCCCACCAGUAGCAGAGGCAGCAGGAGGUGGAAGGAGACAAGGGGAAGGAGCAUGGCUCCUAGGUUUAAUGUUUCCAACUCUUUCUCUCCCACAUCUCCUGAUCACACUAGCAGGAUGAGAGCUUGAGAACAAGAUUGGAAGUUGCUGAGCGAUGCCUGACGCUGUGUUCUGAAUACAUUUACAGAUGAGGAAACAGUGAUGCAGAGAUAUUAAGUGACUUGCACCAGAGCACAGCUAGGAGAUGACAGAGCCGGAUUCCAAAGCAGGCAGCCUGAGCUCACGGACCACUCCAACUCCUCACUGUCUGGUAGAGAAGACGCCAGAUGGAAAUCACUUAUUUCCUAUUGACCCUCAAGUCCGUCACUCUGUGAGCACUUUCUCCUCUACUUGGGUCAUUCUGUUCGUGAUUUCUUCUCUUCCAAGCCCACUUAGGUAGUGACUAUGUACAGGCCCUUAAGAGCCAUCCUACUUGGUGUAUUAUGGAUGAGAAAAAGAAAGU
ensembl:lncRNA